GAUGAACGCUGGCGGCGUGCCCAAUACAUGCAAGUCGAGCGAACAGACGAGGAGCUUGCUCCUCUGACGUUAGCGGCGGACGGGUGAGUAACACGUGGAUAACCUACCUAUAGGACUGGGAUAACUUCGGGAAACCGGAGCUAAUACCGGAUAAUAUAUUGAACCGCAUGGUUCAAUAGUGAAAGACGGUUUUGCUGUCACUUAUAGAUGGAUCCGCGCCGCAUUAGCUAGUUGGUAAGGUAACGGCUUACCAGGGCAACGAUGCGUAGCCGACCUGAGAGGGUGAUCGGCCACACUGGAACUGAGACACGGUCCAGACUCCUACGGGAGGCAGCAGUAGGGAAUCUUCCGCAAUGGGCGAAAGCCUGACGGAGCAACGCCGCGUGAGUGAUGAAGGUCUUCGGAUCGUAAAACUCUGUUAUUAGGGAAGAACAAAUGUGUAAGUAACUAUGCACGUCUUGACGGUACCUAAUCAGAAAGCCACGGCUAACUACGUG
rnacentral:rRNA from 1 species